rnacentral:rRNA from 1 species
GUGGGGAAUAUUGGACAAUGGGCGCAAGCCUGAUCCAGCCAUGCCGCGUGAGUGAUGAAGGCCCUAGGGUUGUAAAGCUCUUUCACCGGAGAAGAUAAUGACGGUAUCCGGAGAAGAAGCCCCGGCUAACUUCGUGCCAGCAGCCGCGGUAAUACGAAGGGGGCUAGCGUUGUUCGGAAUUACUGGGCGUAAAGCGAACGUAGGCGGACAUUUAAGUCAGGGGUGAAAUCCCGGGGCUCAACCCCGGAACUGCCUUUGAUACUGGGUGUCUGGAGUAUGGAAGAGGUAAGUGGAAUUCCGAGUGUAGAGGUGAAAUUCGUAGAUAUUCGGAGGAACACCAGUGGCGAAGGCGGCUUACUGGUCCAUUACUGACGCUGAGGUGCGAAAGCGUGGGGAGCAAACAGGAUUAGAAACCCGAGUAGUCC